rnacentral:rRNA from 1 species
AGUGAACGCUGGCGGUAGGCCUAACACAUGCAAGUCGAACGGCAGCACAGUAAGAGUUUGCUCUUACGGGUGGCGAGUGGCGGACGGGUGACGUAUACAUCGGAACCUACUUUUUCGUGGGGGAUAACGUAGGGAAACUUAUGCUAAUACCGCAUACGACCUACGGGUGAAAGCAGGGGAUCUUCGGACCUUGCGCGAUUGAAUGAGCCGAUGUCGGAUUAGCUAGUUGGCGGGGUAAAGGCCCACCUAGGCGACGAUCCGUAGCUGGUCUGAGAGGAUGAUCAGCCACACUGGAACUGAGACACGGUCCAGACUCCUACGGUAGGCAGCAGUGGGGAAUAUGGGACAAUGGGCGCAAGCCUGAUCCAGCCAGACCGCGUGGGUGAAGAAGGCCUUCGGGUUGUAAAGCCCUUUUGUUGGGAAAGAAAAGCAGCAGGUUAAUACCCCGCUGUUCUGACGGUACCCAAAGAAUAAGCACCGGCUAACUUCGUG